UGAAGAGGGAAGUCCAGCAGCAGAGCAUUCUGUCCCUCCUGGAGAGGAUCAUGUUGGGAGGGAAAGUGAAAUCCCAGUCCCACGCAUGUCCACAUGCCACAGAAAAUCGUGUCUGCAUUCUGAAUAUUGACAUUGCGAAGGUUGACAAUAUGACUACAUACCCAGCAAAUAAUUAGCAAGGCAUGAAAAAGGACAAAGCAAUUUGACAAUACUCAAAUCAUACUUGCCGACACUGUGUGCCUCACCUCCAAGAGGUCCCUGGGAAAGAGGUCCAAGUGGUGCGUUCAAGCUGUGUGGAAGUGAAUGGAAUGUGGAAAGUUGGCCUACGCUCCCAGGAAUCCUGAAGAGCUUCCCAGAAUUCAGGAGUCUCCCGGACAUUGCAGGGGAGUAGAAUCAAAAAUAAACAAAGCUGAACGUAUUCAUUGUCUUCGGGAUUCCAAGUCCAGACUUCAUAAUUACAUGUCUAGAGUAGAUUGUAAAAACAAUUUGUAUAACCAAUGGGAAAAAUGUAUUCCCUACUGUAAAUUCUAAGGAUUUUGGAAAUCUGUGACCAUAUAAAAGCAUGAAGCAGCAGUGCACAAAGCUUUUGCACUAUGUUACUAGAUCAUUGCAAAUUGCUGCAAUCUCAUCUACGUAUAUUAGUUCAAUCUACAAGAUGGCUGCCUCCGAAGCGUGUAGGAAAUACUUUAAGAGGGCGAUUCAAUUGUUAUCACCGCCCCCCACGUCCGUCAGCACCUAUACAAUGGUUUCUGCUGAUGGGUGAGCUGACUUUAUUUCUGCUUGCAUCUUAGCCUCUGAACGCCCACUUCCCAGUCACUUACAAGGCUCCUGAUUAAAGUAAUAUGUUCACCCCUUAGCUACUUACAAGGCUCCUGAUUAAAGUAAUAUGCUGAACCCUUAGCUACUUAUAAGGCUCCUGAUUAAAGUAGUAUGCUGACCCCGUAGCCACAUUUUUUUUUAAAUAAAGAUAAAUACUUUAUUUGUCAUUGAUCAAACAAUAAAAAUAAUGUACAGAACAACGAAAUUUCCUCCAAAGCAACCACAUAUGCAUAUCAGUCAGAAACAGAAUGUACUGUAUAUUAGAAAUCCCCAAUCACGAUCAUCCUUACUAUAACCGAUGGAAAAAACUGUUUCUGAACCGUGAGGUUCUGGAUUUCACACAGCGGAAAUGCCUUUUCGAAGGUAAGAGGGCAAACAGACUGUGGUAUGGAUGUUCACAAUCCUUUAAGAUGCUAUUUCCUUUCCGUAUGCUGUUCUUGAUAUAUA